GGAGUAAAAUCUCCACAAGCUGGGAACAAACCUCGUCCCAACUCCCACCCACCGGCGUUUCUCCAGCUCGAUCUGGAGGCUGCUUCGCCAGUGUGGGACGCAGCUGACGCCCGCUUAUUAGCUCUCGCUGCGUCGCCCCGGCUCAGAAGCUCCGUGGCGGCGGCGACCGUGACGAGAAGCCCACGGCCAGCUCAGUUCUCUUCUACUUUGGGAGAGAGAGAAAGUCAGAUGCCCCUUUUAAACUCCCUCUUCAAAACUCAUCUCCUGGGUGACUGUGACUGCGUCUUGCAGUGUUGCCCAGGAUGGUCUUGUACUUCUGGCUUCAAGAAGUCCUCCCACCUCAACCUUGUAAAGUGCUGGGAUUACAAGUGUGAACCACCAUGCCCAGCCUGUUUUACUUUUCUCUGGAAAUAAUGUUGGACUAAAGACAAGCACAUAUCUUUAUGUCUGUGGCUAGGGAGAAACCACUGAAAAAUGGCUUAAAUAUUUGGUUGUUUACAUAUACAUAGUGUGCUGUUUGUCAAGUAGCAUAAUGGAGCUUGGAAUAGCACUUUUCUCCGAAGAUCUUGUAAAGUGGAGUGGACAUGUUAAUGCCUGUAAUAAAUAUACAAAUUUAGAAAAAAAA
rnacentral:lncRNA from 10 species